rnacentral:sRNA from 1 species
CGAACCACAUGGAUGGAGACGGGGGACCCACCGGUCCACCGUGAUCGGACUGGAGCCGCCCGCGGCUCCUAGGGGUGAAGCCGACGUCGUCGCUUCGACGACCACGCCGGCCGGGUGGCCUCUCCAACCCGAACCCGACAGCUGACCUCGCAGGCGCGUGACGAGAGA